CCUACGGGUGGCAGCAGUGAGGAAUAUUGGUCAAUGGGCUUACGCCUGAACCAGCCAAGUCGCGUGAGGGAAGACUGCCCUAUGGGUUGUAAACCUCUUUUGUCAGGGAGCAACGCCGGCUACGUGUAGCCGGACUGAGAGUACCUGAAGAAAAAGCAUCGGCUAACUCCGUGCCAGCAGCCGCGGUAAUACGGAGGAUGCGAGCGUUAUCCGGAUUUAUUGGGUUUAAAGGGUGCGCAGGCGGCGAGUUAAGUCAGCGGUAAAAUUUCGGGGCUCAACCCCGACAAGCCGUUGAAACUGGCUUGCUAGAGUGGGCGAGAAGUAUGCGGAAUGCGUGGUGUAGCGGUGAAAUGCAUAGAUAUCACGCAGAACUCCGAUUGCGAAGGCAGCAUACCGGCGCCCAACUGACGCUCAGGCACGAAAGCGUGGGUAUCGAAUAGGAUUAGAUACCCGGGUAGUC
rnacentral:rRNA from 1 species